UGGAGGGGAGAUGGUUGAAGGCUUUGAGGAGGAGUGGGGGCUCGGGUGGUGAUCUUAAAGAGUAGGCAAUAUAUAUAUAUAUAUAUGGUGUGAUGACUGAUCGAGUGGUUGGGUUUUGAUAAACUAUAUAAAUCCUUUGUCCGCCGACCGCCGCACUUUGUGACCGCCGACGUGCGUGCUGCUUUGGGUUCGCAAGGAUCGGAUUGCAGGCACCUGCCGGUGAACCCUUCGAGUGUGGGCCAAAUGAUGGUUGUGUCCCUUUCUUCUCUUGGUGUUUUUUUUUUUUUAAUUAGGGUAGGUUGGAGAGCAUGGUGUUGAGUUGGGCAAUGGUGAGGGUUCGGUUCAUCCAUCUUUGAGUAUACAUCAAACUCGCGACAGAUUAUUACAGCUCAAGAUAAAAAAAAAAAAAA
rnacentral:lncRNA from 1 species